AGCAAAAGCCAUAUCACCCUGCAGCACUCAGUUGGUUUCCCACUACAGCGAAUGCAGGGUUGAGCCUGGUCAGUACCUGGAUGGGAGACCUCCUGGGGAAAAGUAAGGUUGCUGCUG
rnacentral:rRNA from 1 species